GUUUUAAAAAUAAUUGACAAUGUAGCUAAACUGCUAAUCGUUACAUGAUACAAAUUCAAAUAUGAUUCUGUUAAUCAUUGUAUUCAUGAAGAAAGCAAUAAUUCAGUUAUUCUAUUUAUACAUAAUAAUAUAUCGUUAUUAAAUAACGCAAACAUAUCCACUCUAGUGUCAGCUUUUAUCAGUCGUAUGACAUAUCAGGAAAGCGUUUCCUCUUUUUCUAUUUCUUUUUUCAACAACAUCCAAUUAAUAUACAAGUAGUAUUGCUAAGAUAAAGCGAUUGUUAUGUCUAUGUGAGAAUAUUUUAUAGCCAUAAACAUGCAAAAGUAUAAGCGACACUUAUAUGAGAUGACCAAUUGCCCAAGGACCAGUUAUGAGAUCGGCAAAGAAAAAGAGAGAAUCAGUGUAUCUUUAAAUUUUUGUCUGUCUAGUAAAAGAGGAAAUAACAGAAGAGUCACAAGAAAGAAGAUGAACAGUUUCACUUAAUAAAAGCUUGUUCGGCCAAUCCUGCUCAGGCGGCCAUUCCGGGAUGAAGACAAAGUCUGCCUCGGAGCACAUGGCUGCCACCAGUGCCAGUGACGACCCAUGACCUCCAUAAUGAAUGUCCGUUGAUGUGAAUAAGCUGUACUGACAAUGGCAUCGAUGCUCUCAAUUAUUCUAUGCAGAGCAGAAUCUGUACCAAUCGUCAUAUCGGUGCCACAGAAAUCAUUGUCAAUGGAACCAACCAGACCAACGAUAUGAAGAUGCAGAUAUUUUUCAUAUUGCUCUGCCGUGAUGUCUCCUAAUAAAUAAAAGAUAUAUUUUAUAUUA